rnacentral:tRNA from 1 species
GAAGGUAUAGCUCAGUGGUAGAGUGCCUGCCUAGCAUGCAUGAGGUCCUAGGUUCAAUCCCCAGUACCUCCA